GGCAUUUCUUGGGCUCAUCUCUGAGGGUGUGCUGGGGCACGGGUCAUCACCGGGAAUGAAUUUGGUCACCUUACCCUGGUACAUAUUUACAAAACUCAAGGAAGUGCCAUGGAAUUUGAUGCAGAUAUCAGUCUCACUUCAAAGGGGUACCAGAAUUGAAGUGAUAGGAAUCUCACAGACCAAGAUUGAGGAAAAGAGUUUGAUGCCUUGUGAAUUGAAGGAUAAGACCUUCUCCUUGGGUGUUGAAUCAGAGCGAUUCAUCCUUGUGGCUUGGGGGUGCACAGAGCAGAAAUCAGAUUGUCUCAGGUAAAUAUGACCUAAAGUUUGGCCACAGAUGGCUUGUCUCCACAGCCAAGCAAACUAUUUCAGGAAAAGAGGAGAGGAUCCAGGCUGAAUGCAGACAGAUGUCAGGAGAGAGAGGCAGUGCAGUGGGGCAGCUGCUCUGUCCUCCCCUGGCACAGAUCCUGUGCUCUUCCCAGGAGGUGCUGCUGGUCUGGGGCAAGAGGGGGAGACAGACCCUACCUGCAGCUGAGAAAUCUGGAAAAUGUGCAAAGCCACCAUGCUGAUGGUGACCUGCUGCUCAGAAUUGCUCCUUAUCUUAAACCCACGCUGCCCAUCCUGCUGCCAAGGCAGCUGGGAGCCUGUCCCAGCCCUCUGCUGCAUGGGGCAGGAGAGGCAGCACACAGAAAUCCU
rnacentral:lncRNA from 12 species